AACGAACGCUGGCGGCAGGCCUAACACAUGCAAGUCGAGCGGGGGAGCAAUCCCUAGCGGCGGACGGGUUAGUAACGCGUGGGAACAUACCCUUUGGUACGGAAUAGCCUCGGGAAACUGAGAGUAAUACCGUAUGUGCCCUUCGGGGGAAAGAUUUAUCGCCAAAGGAUUGGCCCGCGUUGGAUUAGGUAGUUGGUGGGGUAAUGGCCUACCAAGCCUACGAUCCAUAGCUGGUUUGAGAGGAUGAUCAGCAACACUGGGACUGAGACACGGCCCAGACUCCUACGGGAGGCAGCAGUAGGGAAUCUUAGACAAUGGGCGCAAGCCUGAUCUAGCCAUGCCGCGUGAGCGAUGAAGGCCUUAGGGUUGUAAACUGCUUUUAUACAAGAGAAAACCCUGGUACGUGUACCAGGUUGAUAGUAUUGUAAGAAUAAGCAUCGGCUAACUUCGUGCCAGCAGCCGCGGUAAU
rnacentral:rRNA from 1 species